GGGAAGAGAGGUGUAAAUCCUCCGCAGAUCCGCUACGGUAAUCGUCAUCAUGACGUAAGCCCGAAUACC
rnacentral:ncRNA from 2 species